GGGCAGCUAGCUCAGUGGUUAGAGCGUUCGGUUCACAUCCGAAAGGUCGGAGGUUCAACUCCUCUGCUGCCCACCA
rnacentral:tRNA from 1 species